CGUGUAGGCCGGUUGGUAAGUCAGAUGUGAAAUCCCUGGGCUCAACCCAGGAACUGCAUUUGAAACUGCCAGCCUAGAGUGGUGGAGAGGGAGGCGGAAUUCCUGGUGUAGAGGUGAAAUUCGUAGAUAUCAGGAGGAACAUCGGUGGCGAAGGCGGCCUCCUGGACACUUACUGACGCUGAGACGCGAAAGCGUGGGGAGCAAACAGGAUUAGAUACCCUGGUAGUCCACGCCGUAAACGAUGAGUGCUAGAUGUCGCGGGUAUUGACCCCUGCGGUGUCGUAGCUAACGCGUUAAGCACUCCGCCUGGGGAGUACGGCCGCAAGGCUAAA
rnacentral:rRNA from 1 species